ACUUAGACCUGUAGUGAAUUUCAUAGUUGCAACAGUUAAAUUAUCUAAAUAAUUAUACAUUGAUUUAUCUAAAUCCAAUCCUGUAACCUGUGAUUUAACAACAAUUGGAGCCCAAUUUGCAGUAGCAUGAAAACCAGUCCCUAUAUGCAUGCUGGCUGUGUUUAACUUAUUCUUGAGGGUCUCCAUAUCUAUAACUAUUUAGUAUACCCAUAGUGGUUCCAGCACCUCCUAACAGUGUGUCAUGCCAUUCCCUUUUCUGCCUUUGUUUGUUGUAUUACAUAAUGUUACAACAAGAGUAGUGACUUUUAAUGACACAUGUACAGCUUGUAAGAAGGCAGUUGUAUUAACACAUGUGGACGGAAUAGGUGUGUGUGUGUCGUGGUUGACUUUUGGUUCUAUGAUAGUGGAUGAAGGACAGUAAUAAGGUGUAAAAAUAUAAGGUAGUGUAUAGUUCUCAAUUGUAGUGUCGUUCAUAAUGACUAACAUUUGUCCCCUUCUCCAAUUAAUGAUACCAGUUAUAUAAUCAUUAUUAAAAGUAACAAGGCCUGUCUGUUUACAUUGAUAUGCAACCUUAACUGUGCACAUUUCUGCGUUAUAAGAUCUAACAAUUUUCUGUGAACCUUUAAACAAACAUAAUGCAUCGGUUUCAUUAGCUGUAGACACAUUUCAUAUGGGUAACUGGUACUUAUAAGGGUUACUAUUUGUCCAAUUCAUCCAAAUGCGUUCAGUGAAUGAAUGAUUGCAUAUUACAUGCUGAUAGAAAGGUGGUGGAGAAAGGUUCUUGAGGGGGCGUGUGUGACGAAUGCUAGAUGAGGGGCUAAGGCCUAAUUGGGCUGGGGGUAUUGAAGAAUUGUUCAUCAUGUCAGAGUCUUUUUUCAGAACUUGCCAUUGACUUGUACUCAUAAUGGCAUUCAAGGAACAAUAUCAGAGGGAGUAUAACAACUCCAGAAAGCAUAGCACACAACAUAAUCUUGGUCUCAGGUACGUAUGAUCCUCUCAAUCUACGAUAUGGUGUAAAAACCAUGAUGCUUCGCUGAGGAGAAAUUCUUCUGUUUCCGAGCGAGGAGUGGUGUUGUCUUCCUUGGUUCCCCUCUUUGGACACAGCUUCACUCGGGAUGCGUGAAUCCAGAUGUCAUGGGAAUCUGUGAGGACAGCGGUUCUGGUUACAGCAAUCACAGUAGCAGGUGGUCCAAAAGGGUAUCCUCCUUUCUUGGUCCUGUUCAACUGACGGAUAUACACCUUGUCACCGGGCUGGUAUGAAUGAGUAGGUUCCUGUGAAGGUAAGGGAAAACUGCGAAGAAACAUUGUCAUACAUACCAUUCGGUUUUAUCAACAAUUCCUGUACAUAUUGUUCUUGUAUUAGCUGUAAAUCCCCAGACAUUAUAACAAGCGGUUCCCUGGCCCAGGGUGUGGGAAAAGGUCAUCCCAUCAAAAUCUCAAAUGGAGAUAAUUUAGUCACCUUGUGGGGAUAUAUUCUUAUCUCAGCUAAAAUAGUUGGUAGAUAUCUAGUCCAAUUUACCCAUGUUCCUGGGUAAAUUCUGGGCUUUUUUCCUUAAUAGUCCUAUUCAUCCUUUCAACUACCCUGUAUUCUGUGGAUGAUAGGGUAUAUGAAACUGCCAGGUAACUUGCAAGAAUUUAGCAAGUUCCUGGGCAACCCUACUUGCAAAUACCGGGCCAUUAUCAGAGCCAAUCUGCAGAGGGCAGCCAUACCUGGGAAUAAUUUCAGUAACAAUAAUCUUCACUAGCAUCUUCCCUAGAUGUCACAAAGGCCUCAUGCCAUCUACUAAACUGAUCAACUAUGACCAGUAAGUAUUGCUGUUUCUUACCAAUUUUGGAUACAUGAAUAAAAUCAAUCUGUAAGUGUGUAAAAAGAGCAGUGUUCACACGAUCUUACAAAAGACUGUACAUGCUGCCUGAGAUUCCUAAUAUAAAAUGAAUUCAUGAGGAAUUAAAUGGUGCUUGCUAUGUGCCUGACUGAUGAAAAUAAAUCAGCUUGCUUCAAGUAUGCCUAUUCUUCAAGUAUGCCUAUUCUCCCCUCUUUAGAGAACAGAUCAUUUUGAUCUUUCUCUAAACCUUGUUUAAUCCAAAAGACAGAUUGUGGGUAUUUAAAAAAAGAAUCUCAUAACCACUGAAGCGCUGGGCUGUCAUGUGUUAUAUGGUGAUAUUUAUUAUCAGCUGAGUGACCUGGUGACUGGCAUGAAGUAUUGUAGGAUGCCCUAGUGUGAUAGUAGUAGCAGUUUCAACAGCCAUUGCACAUGCUAUCAAUGCUCUGAGACACGCCGGCAUACCCUGUACCGGAGCUCAAACUACUUUGGAAAAGAAUGCUAUGGGACGCAUACCGCCUCCUUGCUCUUGUGCACAGACUGCGGCCAUGGUUUUACAAUUGUCCCAAGCAUACAAAUGAAAUGGUUUACAAUACACAGGUAGUCCUAAAGCCUGGGCUUGCACAAUAACAACUGUAAGGGCAAUAUAUGCAGCUAGCAUGUCUGGUGACCAGCAGACAUUUUCAGGGCUGUCAGAACGUACAGCCUCCCUUAGGAUUGAGUCAUAAUGGGAGCAUUCAGGGAUCCAUGGUGGCAGUAAUUAAUCAUGCCGAGGAAGGUGAGCAACUCCUUCCGAGUAGUGGGUGUAGGAAUCCUCUGAAUGACCUCAAUACGUUUUGGACUCAAUUGUCUGGUGCCUAAAGCCAGAACAAAACCUAAGUAUUCAACCUUUGAUUUACACAAUUGCAUUUUGUGUUUAACAACCUUGUGACCCACAGUUGCUGACAGUAUCCACAGUGCUUGCCUCAUAGCUAGGGCUACAUAACAACAAAUCAUCAACAUUUUGCAAAAAGGACGGAACCAUGACCGGUGGUCCAUGUUUUUUAGAGUAUGUUAGAGUACCAACGAAUAAACAGCUGGGGAAUCCACAUAGCCUUGGGUAAGCAUGUCCAGGUAAACUGACAGCCUUCAAAAAGUAAAAACCAUAAGUAGCUGUGUCUCUUGAUCAAUAGGUAUAGAAAAAAUGCAUUACUUAAAUCAAUGACAGUGAAGCAAGUGGCAUCAUG